ACUAACAUUCCCAGUGGCUAGGAUUUGUCGCUCUCAUCUGUUCACAGUAGUGCCGACAAGGCCCGGGUUCAAUUCCCGGUGUCGGAA